AGGUUAACAAUGGCUUCAAACAUAGUUUUCCUAGAACAUAUUCCGGGAGUACAAUCAACUCUUUUGCUGAGGGAUCAGUCUUUGUGGACAUGACGCUGAUCUUCAACAAAGAAUCUGCUGUUCCUACUGAAAGCCGUGUAGUGCAGGUAUUGAAGGACGCACUAGAUGAUCUAAUGACCUUCCUCGAUGUGGACACUACAACUAUUGCUGCAGGACCAACUACAACAACUUCAAGACAACCAACCACUGCAGGACCACUAACGACAACUGCAGGACCCUUAACCAUUAUCACGGGACUCACAACAACAACUGCAGGAUCAA